CCUACGGGAGGCAGCAGUGAGGAAUAUUGGUCAAUGGACGAGAGUCUGAACCAGCCAAGUAGCGUGAAGGAUGACUGCCCUAUGGGUUGUAAACUUCUUUUAUAUGGGAAUAAAACAGGGUAUGCAUACCCUCUUGUAUGUACCAUAUGAAUAAGGAUCGGCUAACUCCGUGCCAGCAGCCGCGGUAAUACGGAGGAUCCGAGCGUUAUCCGGAUUUAUUGGGUUUAAAGGGAGCGUAGGUGGGUUGUUAAGUCAGUUGUGAAAGGCUGGGGCUCAACCGUAAAAUUGCAGUUGAAACUGGCCGUCUAGAGUACAGUAGAGGUAGGCGGAAUGCGUGGUGUAGCGGUGAAAUGCUUAGAUAUCACGAAGAACUCCGAUUGCGAAGGCAGCUUACUGGACUGCAACUGACGCUGAGGCUCGAAAGUGUGGGGAUCAAACAGGAUUAGAUACCCCAGUAGUC
rnacentral:rRNA from 1 species